rnacentral:lncRNA from 1 species
GUGGGGCUCUGCAGCCUUACCAGCCCUGCAUGCGCUCCUGCCCCCAGCCAGCUCCCUCCUCGCUGACCUCAGUCUUCCCUCCCCCCGCCCCAUCCUAGCAGAAAGAAGCUGAAGGAGUUCCUGCCAACUUCCAUGCACCUGAGGCUGUGCUCCACCGCCGUAAAACCAGAGGACACCUCGUCAUCGUCAUCGAAGCAACCAGUUGCCAGCCUGAGUUCAUCUGUACACAGCGUGAAGCUCACAGAACAGAACUCUACCAUCAGCAUCCUAGGCGAGAGCUCCUCGGGGCUGCAGGAACUGGAUGCCAACCUGAGUUCAUCCACAGUGGGAGUGAAGUGGAAGGAGUUCCUGUCGCCACCGUCCAGGUGCUCAAGUGAGACCUCCCUCAGGACCAUCGGCUCAGAGAGCUCCCUGCAGCUCCAGGAUGCAAAUGAUCAACAAGAAAUAAGGCAGCAUAUGGAAGGAGACAUGGCUGAAAACCAAGGCUCAGCUUCAGGAGCCCAGGGACCUGCGCUGACUGAGAGCCCCUUCCAGGGCUCCUUCUCCGCCAGUAUGCUGCCUGUGGAGUCAGUCCCUGAAAACUACUCUCUCCUGUCCUCUCUGCAUGGCCACAGAAAGGACACGUGGUCCCAGAGGCACUGGGACACCCUCCCCGGCAGCCAGAAGCCCUGGAGCUUGGAGUCCACGGUCAUCAACGUCUCCGGGAAGCCGAACAACCAGCCGGCCAUCCAGGAGGUGCCCCGUGCGUGGGCGACGGUGCCGUACAUCCAGAUGCCCAAGGGCCUGCCCGUCAUCGAGGAAGAAGAGUGUGGGAUGAUGGUGACCCCCGUCGUCAGCGUGGAGGAGGGCUGUGGCCCCGAGGAGGCCACUGGGUCCGACGACUCCCGCAGGGUCACCGUGAUCGUAACGCCUGAGGACCCGGAGCUCAAGGACCGGGCUCCUCAGCCUCUAUAGAGCAAGCACAUCUCCGAGGGCCCCAGGACGCCCCCUCCCUCCAGAGCUGCUCACACAGCCUGGCCUCAUUUCCAACUCUAGGAGGAGACCUGGGCCCUGCCGUCCACCGUCAGACCCUGCCGUCCACCGUCAGACCCCGCCGUCCACCGUCAGACCCCGCCGUCCACCUUCAGACCCCGCCGUCCACCUUCAGACCCCGCCGUCCACCGUCAGACCCCGCCGUCCACCGUCAGACCCCGCCGUCCACCUUCAGACCCUGCUGUCACCAUCAGACCCCACACCCUCCAUGAGAGUCAGGAGGGAAGAGGGAGCAUAAGCCCCUCUGCUUCUGGCUACGUGGGAAGAGUUUUAUGACCUCUGCAUUUCACUCACUCUAGAAGCCAUAUGUUAAAGACUUUCAUAUUUUUCUAAACACGUCUAAGUGUUAUUCCAGAAAGAAAGACGAUUCAAGAUGGAGUGGGUGCCAUGUUUUUACUUUGUUGACUAUUAACGUUUUUAACUGUAGGAAUUUAAGUAGCUUUUAAGAAAAUUUAGAAUUCCUUAGUAAGUUUUAUAGGAAAAAAUAAAAAUUAAUUUU